UUAAGUUCAGCGGGUAUCCCUACCUGAUCCGAGGUCAAAAUAUGGUUUUGUUAGCUUCUGGGAGCUGGCGCCCCGGCUCCGAGACCGCGUUUCUGCUGCGCUCGAAGCCAAGGUACCGGCCGCCAAUGCAUUUGAGGCGAGUCCGCGACCCGGGGGGCGGGACAGGACGCCCAACACCAAGCUGAGCUUGAGGGUGUAGA
rnacentral:misc_RNA from 1 species